UAAAGUGUUCGCUCAUACGACUUGAAUGCUGUCUAUCUGUUCAAAUGAAGAAGAACCUUUGUAGAGAGGCCCUUUCUACAACAACUGCUCUAAAUUCGUGGAGAGAUUGGGCAAAACAAGGCGAUGAACACACUCGAACGAUCGCACAACUUGUUGUUGACACUAUUAGGGAUGAUGACUUUUGGGAUGAAGUUGAAAACAUCUUAAAAAAAAGAAAUACUGACCGGAACUCCCUUCCUGUCAUUGUGGCAUCAAUGUAUGGUACAAAGCGAAUGGUUCACUAUCUCUACUCCAAGACUCCAAGUGAGCUGCUGGACCCGGGUAACGGAUUGGACGGUGUGUCUCUGCUGAAUAAUUUGAUCACAGCAGAAUUAUGUGGUGUUGCAGGGUAGAGUUUCAGCAGAUUGUAUCUGAUGAAGGCGUUGCAUGAAAACUAUGAAGAAAGAAUAAAAAGAGUACAUUAAGUUACAUGGAUGAUGCUCUCGUAAUGCAUGUGAAUUCCUUUGAUUGUCAUUUCAUGUUUCUCGAAUUGUCGCUUCGGUUGCCUAAUUACACCGAAUAAGAAAUCUAAAUGGGAUAAGUAAGAGAAGCUAGAAAUCAGGCAGGCGUGGUGGACAUGGCGAUCAUGGGUUCAGGCGUGGUGGCUGUCUCGGUUACAUUUUAUUUUGUUCAUACGUCAGUAAUCAUGAAUCAUUUUGUAGGCAAUCUCGCCCUUGUGAUACUUGGAUGGAUUCUUGUGACGGGAACAUUUAUAUUGGCUGGAGUGUUCUUCGUUUUGCACAAUGUGACUGCAGAUAGUUGUGUAUCGAUGAAUCAGUGAGUUGAGAACCCGACAGCUCAUACGGUUUUAGACAACAUUCUUCCAUGUGUAGACAACGCCACCGCUCAAGAAACUUCACAGAGGACCAAGGAAGUCACCUCUCAACUUGUUAAUGUCAUCAACCAAGUCAUCACUAAUGUCACUAAUAUCAACUUUGCCCCAAAUUUCACCCCUCUCUUUUUCAAUCAAUCUGGACCCAAGAUGCCCCUUCUUUGCAAUCCCUUUAAGCCCAACUUCACCGAUCGAACUUGUGACCCUACAGAAGUCUCGUUGAGCAAUGCCACACAUGUAUUUGUUAUCAUAUCUAACACGUUAGCUAUUGUCAACUGAACAACUCGACCCAAUAUAACACAUUCUUUAUUCGUUGCUGGUGUACACCAAAUAAGAAAUCUAAAUGGGUAAGAGAAGCUAGAAAUGAAGGCAGGCGUGGUGGACAUGGCGAUCAUGGGUUCGGGCGUGGUGGCUGUCUCGGUCACAUUUUAUUUUGUUCAUACGUCACUAAUCAUGACUCAUUUUGUAGGCAAUCUUGCGUAAGUUUCACUUUUAAAGUGUUCGCUCAUACGACUUGAAUGCUGUCUAUCUGUUCAAAUGAAGAAGAACCUAUUAGCGAGCCUUAUAUUUUUACACAAGAAUGGUGUGAAUAUCUAACUUACAUUUAUAUAUAUUUUUAGCUAUACAUAAAAUUUGAUUUCUUGCAUUGGAUUUGGGCUUGAGUUUUUUACAAAUAGAUUGAUUUUCAUUCUCAAUAAAAUAAAAAAAAUGUCGCAUACAUCCAAAAUGUAUACGAGGAAGAAAUGGUGUCAAAUUGUUAGCUUAACAUAAUAACGUCAAUUUUUGUAAGACUCAUCAAUACAGAGUUGUUUUUUUUCCUAGAUACUUUGUUUAGGAACUAAUUGAUGAAUUUCAUCAUAUGAUAGCAAAAGAAAUAACUAUUAAAAGGUCAGGACUUUUUUUUUAUGAAAGAACUAAUGUUACAUACAUAUAGUGAUGAGCAUUUGAGAUUAGAUACCGGUACCGAAUUUCUCGUACUGAAUUAUUUUCUGUACCAAUUCGGUACCCAUUUUUUGGCGUUCUUGGUAUCGGUGCUUUUGGUUCGAUACAUGUUUGGUACGGUACCAGUAUAUUACCGAGCUAUAUGUCACAACAGCGUGACAUAACCGAUAGGAUAAGAGGCAUUCUCAUCGAUUGGCUAAUUGAGGUUCAUUACAAGUUUGAACUUAUGGAAGAGACUCUAUAUCUAACUGUCAAUCUUGUUGACCGGUUCCUGCCGCGCCGACCCGUUGUAAGGAAGAAUCUUCAACACGUUGGAAUAACUGCAAUGCUUCUCGCUUGUAAAUAUGAAGAAGUCACGGUGCCGAUUGUCAAUGAUUUUAUUGUAAUUUCUGAUGAAGCUUACACGAGAUCUGAAGUUCUUGAUAUGGUAACUAAUGAACAUAAUUUUAUUUAUCUA